UACGUAGGGUGCGAGCGUUGUCCGGAAUUACUGGGCGUAAGGAGCUCGUAGGUGGUUUGUCGCGUUGUUCGUGAAAACUCACAGCUUAACUGUGGGCGUGCGGGCGAUACGGGCAGACUGGAGUACUGCAGGGGAGACUGGAAGUUCCUGGUGUAGCGGUGGAAUGCGCAGAUAUCAGGAGGAACACCGGUGGCGAAGGCGGGAU
rnacentral:rRNA from 1 species